AGCAUGUUUUCACUGCUGACAUCCUCUCUGCCUGCAGUCCAUGAGCAUGUUCAGCAGUGCCCUGGCCUCUGGGCAGCUCGGCCCCCUCAUGAGCCAGUUCGGUCUGCCAGCAGAAGCUGUAGACGCCGCCAACCGUGGAGAUGUGGAAGCGUUUGCCAGAGCCAUGCAGGCCAGCAAAGGAGACUCCAAAGAGAAGAAGGAGGACGAUGAAGACAUGAGUCUGGAUUAAAGUUCAAGCAGCCCCGCCUCCUCCCAGGAAAAGCGGCUGACCUGUCCAGCCUCUCUCCAUCCUCCGUUACUCUCAGCAUCUGAUCAUCUUUAUAAACUUCCAUGCAAAUAAAAACAUUUGUUGAUUGAA